rnacentral:lncRNA from 1 species
AAAAUAAAAACGCACAGUUCAACAUGAACAUCAUAUAGUAAUAACUUCGGAAACUCCGUCAAUUACAACCUCAAAUUUUCCGAUCCAUAUAAAUCCAAUUCCCAACCACUCCAUAAUGUCAUCCCCACUUUCAUCAUUCUCUAACUACCAUGAACGGCGGCGCAAUAUAAAUCCAAUUCCCAACCACUCCAUAAUGUCAUCCCCACUUUCAUCAUUCUCUAACUACCAUGAACGGCGGCGCCACCUCUUACUCCGGUGACGUCUCCGCCGUUAAACGUAGACACAGCAGCCAAACCGUUCAUUCUAACGGCGUUAACGCGACGGAUUCAAGCCUAAUCUCUAAUUAAGGUACUAUUUUGCAAUUUAACCUAAUUUAUAACUCGUCCCUAAACAAGUUCAUUUUACACUUUGACCACAGAGAUAACCUGUGAUUUUAG